rnacentral:misc_RNA from 1 species
AAUUCAGAUAAGAGAAAGAAUCCAACUCCUCUGAGAAUGGACCAAUUUCUAGAUUCCUCAAUUGAGUGAGCCCCCCUAAUAUUGUCUCUGAAAAGUAACUCAAACUUUGACACGCUGUUAUUCGUAAAAUAUUAAGAGAAAGCAAUUCUCCUAAAUAUUCCGGAAAAGAUAUCAACCUGUUGCAUCUAUCUAUUUCCAAUGAUUCCAAAGAAGUGGAGGAUUUUAGCCCACUUGGAAGGCAAGUUAAUUUGCUACACCCUCUAAGUUUAAUGCUUUUAAGAGAUGG